GGCUAGAUGACCGAGUGGACGAAGGUGACAGACUGCAAAUCUGUUUGAGAGAUCACGCCGAGGGUUCGAAUCCCUCUCUAGCCUCCA
rnacentral:tRNA from 1 species